AUGGGAUUCUGCAUGAUGGCAGCAAAGAGACAACAUGGGGUGGAGAUGCAGGCCGUCAGUACACUGAAGGCGCUGCGUUCUGUCGGGGUGUUGGAUUCGAUGCAGAGCAUCGGAGACGUUGCCGUUGUCUCUGCAACUGCAACUCAAUGUUAUGAAUGGAGUCAGUUGGGGUCGUCUAUAAAUUUGCUUGUGAUGUGCUUGCAAACCAAGACUUUGUUGAGGCUUUUCUGCGGGGACAGGGGAGACGCCAGUGAUCAAGCGGCAGCGGCCUACAGCCUGGAAGAGCUGCACAAGGGAGCCGCCAAGAUCUCCAACGACAUCCUCGACUCUGUCGGGGUUUCAGUAUAUGCAACAACAAAAAAUUCGACAAUAGUAUACGUGACAAAUGGUGCUAUUUGCGUUCGCUGCAAUCUCCUCAUACUUACCAGGGUUGAGUGCCCAACAUUCCCGAAGAUGGCACCCAAGACGUGUCCGCAGCCAGAACCAGCGAAGUUGUCGUACAAGAAGCUGGGAGAUUCAGAUCUCAUGAUCUUGGAGAGCAAAGCACAGAGAAGGAAUCCCAUGAUAUGCUCUCUUAUUCUUUUAAUCAGGUCAUCAACAUACUGGACACCGCAGAAAUUGCCGGUACACAUUCCUUCCUCCCUUCGACCACCGUCUUAUUUUCUGAAGUUGAUCCCAGUUUUAGUUGAAAUACUCCACUUCUAUUGGUUGUUACUACCGAAUGCAAGCCAAGAAGGAGACUCCGGGGAGGACUGA
rnacentral:rRNA from 1 species